rnacentral:rRNA from 2 species
GGGUUGUGAGGUUAAGCGACUAAGCGUACACGGUGGAUGCCCUGGCAGUCAGAGGCGAUGAAGGGCGUACUAAUCUGCGAUAAGCGCCGGUAAGGUGAUAUGAACCGUUAUAACCGGCGAUACCCGAAUGGGGAAACCCAGUGUGAUUCGUCACACUAUCAUUAACUGAAUCCAUAGGUUAAUGAGGCGAACCGGGGGAACUGAAACAUCUAAGUACCCCGAGGAAAAGAAAUCAACCGAGAUUCCCCCAGUAGCGGCGAGCGAACGGGGAGGAGCCCAGAGCCUGAAUCAGCAUGUGUGUUAGUGGAAGCGUCUGGAAAGGCGCGCGAUACAGGGUGACAGCCCCGUACACAAAAGCGCAUGUGCUGUGAGCUCGAUGAGUAGGGCGGGACACGUGGUAUCCUGUCUGAAUAUGGGGGGACCAUCCUCCAAGGCUAAAUACUCCUGACUGACCGAUAGUGAACCAGUACCGUGAGGGAAAGGCGAAAAGAACCCCGGCGAGGGGAGUGAAAAAGAACCUGAAACCGUGUACGUACAAGCAGUGGGAGCACNNNNNNNNNNNNNNNNNNNNNNNCCUUUUGUAUAAUGGGUCAGCGACUUAUAUUCUGUAGCAAGGUUAACCGAAUAGGGGAGCCGGAGGGAAACCGAGUCUUAAUUGGGCGUUAAGUUGCAGGGUAUAGACCCGAAACCCGGUGAUCUAGCCAUGGGCAGGUUGAAGGUUGGGUAACACUAACUGGAGGACCGAACCGACUAAUGUUGAAAAAUUAGCGGAUGACCUGUGGCUGGGGGUGAAAGGCCAAUCAAACCGGGAGAUAGCUGGUUCUCCCCGAAAGCUAUUUAGGUAGCGCCUCGUGAAUUCAUCUCCGGGGGUAGAGCACUGUUUCGGCUAGGGGGCCAUCCCGGCUUACCAACCCGAUGCAAACUGCGAAUACCGGAGAAUGUUAUCACGGGAGACACACGGCGGGUGCUAACGUCCGUCGUGAAGAGGGAAACAACCCAGACCGCCAGCUAAGGUCCCAAAGUCAUGGUUAAGUGGGAAACGAUGUGGGAAGGCCCAGACAGCCAGGAUGUUGGCUUAGAAGCAGCCAUCAUUUAAAGAAAGCGUAAUAGCUCACUGGUCGAGUCGGCCUGCGCGGAAGAUGUAACGGGGCUAAACCAUGCACCGAAGCUGCGGCAGCGACACUGUGUGUUGUUGGGUAGGGGAGCGUUCUGUAAGCCUGCGAAGGUGGCCUGUGAGGGUUGCUGGAGGUAUCAGAAGUGCGAAUGCUGACAUAAGUAACGAUAAAGCGGGUGAAAAGCCCGCUCGCCGGAAGACCAAGGGUUCCUGUCCAACGUUAAUCGGGGCAGGGUGAGUCGACCCCUAAGGCGAGGCCGAAAGGCGUAGUCGAUGGGAAACGGGUUAAUAUUCCCGUACUUGGUGUUACUGCGAAGGGGGGACGGAGAAGGCUAUGUUGGCCGGGCGACGGUUGUCCCGGUUUAAGCGUGUAGGUGUGUGUUCCAGGUAAAUCCGGUUCACUUUAACACUGAGGCGUGACGACGAGGCACUACGGUGCUGAAGCAACAAAUGCCCUGCUUCCAGGAAAAGCCUCUAAGCAUCAGGUAACAUCAAAUCGUACCCCAAACCGACACAGGUGGUCAGGUAGAGAAUACCAAGGCGCUUGAGAGAACUCGGGUGAAGGAACUAGGCAAAAUGGUGCCGUAACUUCGGGAGAAGGCACGCUGACACGUAGGUGAAGUGAUUUACUCAUGGAGCUGAAGUCAGUCGAAGAUACCAGCUGGCUGCAACUGUUUAUUAAAAACACAGCACUGUGCAAACACGAAAGUGGACGUAUACGGUGUGACGCCUGCCCGGUGCCGGAAGGUUAAUUGAUGGGGUCAGCGCAAGCGAAGCUCCUGAUCGAAGCCCCGGUAAACGGCGGCCGUAACUAUAACGGUCCUAAGGUAGCGAAAUUCCUUGUCGGGUAAGUUCCGACCUGCACGAAUGGCGUAAUGAUGGCCAGGCUGUCUCCACCCGAGACUCAGUGAAAUUGAACUCGCUGUGAAGAUGCAGUGUACCCGCGGCAAGACGGAAAGACCCCGUGAACCUUUACUAUAGCUUGACACUGAACAUUGAGCCUUGAUGUGUAGGAUAGGUGGGAGGCUUUGAAGUGUGGACGCCAGUCUGCAUGGAGCCGACCUUGAAAUACCACCCUUUAAUGUUUGAUGUUCUAACGUGGACCCGUUACCCGGGUUGCGGACAGUGUCUGGUGGGUAGUUUGACUGGGGCGGUCUCCUCCUAAAGAGUAACGGAGGAGCACGAAGGUUGGCUAAUCCUGGUCGGACAUCAGGAGGUUAGUGCAAUGGCAUAAGCCAGCUUGACUGCGAGCGUGACGGCGCGAGCAGGUGCGAAAGCAGGUCAUAGUGAUCCGGUGGUUCUGAAUGGAAGGGCCAUCGCUCAACGGAUAAAAGGUACUCCGGGGAUAACAGGCUGAUACCGCCCAAGAGUUCAUAUCGACGGCGGUGUUUGGCACCUCGAUGUCGGCUCAUCACAUCCUGGGGCUGAAGUAGGUCCCAAGGGUAUGGCUGUUCGCCAUUUAAAGUGGUACGCGAGCUGGGUUUAGAACGUCGUGAGACAGUUCGGUCCCUAUCUGCCGUGGGCGCUGGAGAACUGAGGGGGGCUGCUCCUAGUACGAGAGGACCGGAGUGGACGCAUCACUGGUGUUCGGGUUGUCAUGCCAAUGGCACUGCCCGGUAGCUAAAUGCGGAAGAGAUAAGUGCUGAAAGCAUCUAAGCACGAAACUUGCCCCGAGAUGAGUUCUCCCUGAGACUUAAAGUCUCCUGAAGGAACGUUGAAGACGACGACGUUGAUAGGCCGGGUGUGUAAGCGCAGCGAUGCGUUGAGCUAACCGGUACUAAUGAACCGUGAGGCUUAACCUUACAACGCCGAAG